AACGAACGCUGGCGGCAGGCUUAACACAUGCAAGUCGAGCGCCCCGCAAGGGGAGCGGCAGACGGGUGAGUAACGCGUGGGAACGUACCCUUUGCUACGGAAUAGCUCCGGGAAACUGGAAUUAAUACCGUAUGUGCCCUACGGGGGAAAGAUUUAUCGGCAAAGGAUCGGCUCGCGUUGGAUUAGCUAGCUGGUGGGGUAAUGGCCUACCAAGGCGACGAUCCAUAGCUGGUCUGAGAGGAUGAUCAGCAACAUUGGGCCUGAGACACGGCCCAAACUACUACGGGAGGCAGCAGUGGGGAAUAUUGGACAAUGGGCGCAAGCCUGAUCCAGCCAUGCCGCGUGAGUGAUGCAGGCCUUAGGGUUGUAAAGCUCUUUCACCGGAGAAGAUAAUGACGGUAUCCGGAGAAGAAGCCCCGGCUAACUUCGUGCCAGCCGCCGCCGUAACAC
rnacentral:rRNA from 1 species